GUGCCUAACACAUGCAAGUCAACUUGACUGAAGGAGCAAUCUGACAGUAGAGUGGCGCAAGGGUGCGUAACGCGUAAGUAACUUGCCCCAAGGUAAGGAAUAACGUCGAGAAAUCGGCGCUAAUACCUCAUAAUGCAGCGGAUCCGCAUGGAUAUGUUGUUAAAGGUUUACCGCCUUGGGAUAGGCUUGCGUCUGAUUAGUUAGUUGGUGUGGUAACGGCACACCAAGGCUACGAUCAGUAACUGGUCUGAGAGGAUGAUCAGUCACACUGGAACUGAGACACGGUCCAGACUCCUACGGGAGGCAGCAGUGAGGAAUAUUGGGCAAUGCUCGAAAGAGUGACCCAGCAACGCCGCGUGGAGGAUGAAGGUAUUCUAUAUCGUAAACUCCUGUGAGAGCAGACGAAAGACAGAUUAUUAAUCUGGAUGACUGUAUGCUCAGAGGAAGCCCCGGCUAACUACGUG
rnacentral:rRNA from 1 species